rnacentral:tRNA from 1 species
UCCUCGAUAGCUCAAUGGCAGAGCAACCGGCUGUUAACCGGUAGGUUACUGGUUCGAAUCCAGUUCGGGGAG